rnacentral:lncRNA from 1 species
UACAGACAGAUGGUACGAUUCAAUAUGUUCCUGUGUUCUUAGAAGAUAAGGCAGUGCACCCACUAGAGUAUUACAUGUACUAUUCAUUGGUGUCUUUACAAUAGAACAUUAAAGCGCUGAAUGCACAGUAAGCUUGAAACCUUUCGAUAUGCUGUUAACAAGAAAUAAUCUAAAGAAAAGCAUGUUGUUCUGGUAAGAAGUGUGUAAUACUAUGUAGCGCUCACUUUUACAGGAACUAGUAUUAAAGGCCUGAAGGUAGUUAUUCGCUAGAUAUGCCUCCAGGGGUGUAAGAUGAAUCACGUGCUAUAAUUCAUGAAUGCGUAAAUUCAUGCGCUACUAUCACAAAAUAGAGCCAUUAAGAAAUGUCUUCUUUUUCUAUAAAACGUAUAUGUUCUACAAUGGAAGAAUAAGGCAUGCAAGAAAAAGAAUCAUUUAUUGGCAGCGGGUAAAUCUGGCAAUAUCCGGCCGGAGCCUCGUUCCCGCUUAAGCAGUUACCAUCGUGUCGUAUAUUCCCAUCUUUAUUCGCAUCCAGUUAAAGAUUCUUAUAUACUGCAACCACAACACCCAGAAAAACUCUAAUAGGUCAACACCUCAAAAGUUCAACUUCAAGGUCAUUUUUCAAGUAAUGAUAUAUCUAAGAUUAAAAAUUUGCUCAACUUUCAAGACGUUUGCCAGGUUUCAAGUUUUCAAGGUUUUUGUACAAUUGCUUAGUUGUGAGGCUUAAUAGGUAAAUCAAACGAGGAUUAUCAAUUGUUCUAACAGGGUUGGCAUAUGAGUGAGUGCUGUUCGAGAAAGGUUCAGAAUUUAAAAGCUACACAUGUAUACCAUCUAGGAUGUACCUCUGCGUGUCGGGCUUUGGAUUACAGUAUGUUAUACAUUCGCAAACUAACGUACGAAUCUACAGUUAGCAGUGGGCUGCAACAAUCAAAUCAUAUGUUCUUGACAUAAUCAAUGCUACUUUCUAUGUUCACCAGUCUAUUGUAGAUAUAAUAUUUGGGUGAAUGUUUUCUUGACUAUUCGCUAUGUAUUGGAUAAAAAAGGCUACUUAUAAAGAAUAGCCAUUGUCGAUUUCAACAAAAACACAAUUUUCAGAUAUAUAGAAUAAUGUUUUGACAAAUAAUGACCAUCUCUGGUCCCAUCUCUUAUUCUAAAAAAUAAGCAUGGGUAGUAUAACUCUACAUAUUUCUGCGAAAUCAACUUCUGGUUUAGCCGACCUUAGAAUUACCAUGUAUUGAUGUCACGGCUUAAUUGUUACACCAAUAAUUUAAAGUGUUGCAAGCCCAUGCCACUUCUUCAAUAAAUGGACUGUUGCCCUUUAAACUCCCUUACAGAGGGAAAUAAAUUCUAAAACGACCUGCAUCAAUUUUAUGUAUUAUUUCAAAAAUAGUUUUAAGAAUUGUACAUGACCAACUAGAAAAUUAUUUGAGUAAACAGAGUUUGCUUUACGAGUUUCAAUCAGGUUUUAGAAGUUCUUUAUCAACGGAUAUAUCUUUUACACAUCUGUCUGACUAUAUAAGGUUUAAUUCAGGUAAUGGAAAUUAUGUUGGCAUGAUUUUGCUUGAUUUGCUACAAGCUUUUUAUACAGUUAACCAUGCUCUCCUGUUAGAUAAACUGAAAAUGUUAUUCAGAUGAUAUCAGAUGGUUUCAAUCAUAUUUAUCUGGUGAACAACAAUGUAUACAUAUAUUUGGCAUUCUUUCGUCAUCUGCAAAUAUAACAUGUGAUGUGCCCCAAGGAUCCAUACUUGGGCCUCUGCUGUUUUUAAUUUUCCUAAAUGACAUGACAGGUGUUGUAAAUAACAAACUUUUAUUGUAUGCAGAUGAUUCUGCCAUUUUAGUGUUUGGCAAAUGUAAAAUAGAUAUUGAGCGCUUGUUAACCCAAGAUCUUGAACGAGCUAGUAACUGGUUAGUUGGCAACAAAAUUGUCAUUGCACCUAGGGACAACAGAAUCAAUUUUAUUUGGCUGAAAGCCCAGGUUAAAAAUGAGUGUUUACCUUCAUAUAGUAUGUAAUGGUACGGUGAUUAAGCACACUAACUAAACAAACUGAAAUAUUUGGGUGCUAUAUUAGAUCACUGUUUGAGUAAUUAGACUAUCAAUCAUUAAAAAAAAAGCAAAUGCAAGACUUAGGUCUCUCGUUUUUAUCAUUGUACACUAGAAAAUGAUAGUCAUGUCCUUGAUCCAAUGUCAUUUUGACUAUGCCUGCUCUGUAUGCUACUAUGGUAUUUCUCAGUGCUUGAAGAAUAGGCUCCAGGUUACUCAAAACAAGAUCAUUAGGUUUUUCUUAGACUUGAUCAAAGAAGUAAACAGUUCGGCUGGUUACCUGUCACAAGAAGAGUGUCAGGUUCUGCCCCUUCUUACCUGAAUGAGCAUUUUACUCAAGCCAGUUCUGUACAUAGUCACAAUACCAGGCCUAGCAAGGGGUCAUGCUUCAGCAUUCCUAAAGUCAAAGGAUUUGGUAAAAAGUAAUUCUGCUAAAAUGGUUGUUCUUUGUGGAAUAAUUUGGCACAUAAUGUUAGAAAUUCUGCAAACAUGCAGCAGUUCAAUGUUUCAGUAAAAAUCAUCUUCUUCAUAGCUUGUAGUUACAUUUGUCUUUUCAAUUUAUACUGUGAUUUCUCUUCUGUGAUACUUUCUUAAACUACUGAAAACUUGCUCAAGUUACCACCAUUUAUUACAAAGUUGUUGUGCCUUGCUAGAACAUGUCAGACAUGUCAUCAUUCAUCCAGGGCCACACUGGAAAUAAGGGCUUUCACAUUCCCCUUUUUGUGUCAUCAUGGGUAUAUGAAUACAUGUCCUGUUACAUUUGAUUUUCUGCAAUUAUUGGUAUUCAUGUUUAGUAAUGAUUCUUAAUUGUCUUUCAAUAUGUUUUAAUUCAAUGUCAUUGUAUAUGUGAUAUUUGAAAUUUGUUUUAAUUUGUGUUGUACCAUACCAUAAAUUUUAUAUACUGAAAUAAAUUAAUCCCAAAAAGGUUGCGCAACUCAAUGGACAGGAGAGCUCUAAUAGUAGCAGUGAACAAACACCGCUUACUUCGAAAAGACAGAAAAAGCAUGAAGGGCUUUGGAUGAAAUGUCGAAGGAACGUUUGCUCUGUCAACUUUGUAUUUUUUAUAACGUUAGCAGUUUUAUAUGGUGUGUUUGUCAGAAUUUUCUAUUGUGUAUGGAGUUCAAAAACAAAUAUAACACCUCCGACACCUAAAACUUUUUUCAGGUAGUGGACAGGUAAUAACAGUCGGCAAUGUUCAUACUUUUGCGUAUUUUCCGUUUGCGAUUUUGCAUUCUUCGGCUUUAAGAAAAAUAUUUGUCAUGACCAGAGAAUGCUAAAAUCGCUACGGAGUUUAUAACCUUAACAGCGGGAAGUUAGCCUAUGAAAUAAUUUAUGCGGACAAAUCAUGCACUAUUGGCUAACUUUUUAUGACUAGAUUCAAAACAAUCCUUAACCUCGGUCAAUCAUCAGGUGUUGGUAAUUUUAAGGUACUUGGCAUAUGUAUAUACAGUUGAAAAUUAACGAAAUUUCCGUUUUCUAUUUCGGCACUUUCUUGUUGUAGCGGAAAGCUAUGUGUGCGUUGAUCUACAUUUACAUGCGAAAUGACGAAUUUGUAAACAGGCAUUUGCAAUUCUAUGGGAAUUGCCGAGUGUUAUUUCCCUCACCUUCACACAAAAUAAUAUCAAAUCAAUUGUAUGUAGUCUUAUAGUGAUGUAAGCGGGAAGGAUAUUUUUGCCCCUACUGUCAGUGGAGGGCUUCUUCCACUAUGAGUGUUGGGGCGUAUAGAUUUGGUCUUGUCCGUGCGUCCGUCCGUUUUAACCUUGUGACGCGCCUAGCUCAAAAUUAUUUGAUAUUAAUUGAUGAAACAUUGCAUAUAUCUUAACCAUAAUAUGAAUUUGCGCAUCUUCUAUUUCUUGCCUGGCUCCGCCCUCUAUUUCUAGACUUACAACCCUUGCAUUAAUAAAAAAUGCUCAUUUUCACCUUGUUACGCGCCUAGCUCAAAUAAAUUUUUAAACCUUGCAUGAGUCUUUAUUAUGAUAUUACCUUGCACCCCUCUAAUUUGUCGUCUAGCUCCAGUGCCUAGUUUUAGAGAAAUAGCCCCUUAAAUAGUCGAAACUGCACAUUUUCACGUUGUGACGUGCACAGCUCAAAAUGUUUCUAAUAAAUUGAUGAAAUCUUGCAUGAGUCUUAUCCAUAAUACGUACUUGCACUAUUUUUAUCUUGGGUCUAGCACUGCCCCUUAUUUUGAGAGUUAUUACCCCUGAAAUAGUCAAAAAACGCACAUUUUCACCUUGUGACGCGACUAGCACAGGAAGUAUAUAAAUCGAUGAAAACUUGUUUGAGUUUUUAUUAUGAUAUAAACUUGCGCAUCUUUUAUUCGACGUCUUGCUUCAGCCCCUAUUGUUGAAAUUAUGGUCUCUGAAAUAGUCAAACGUUUAUAUUCUUACAUAACUACGUGCCUAGCUGAAAAAGAUUUGGAUGUUAUUUUAUAAAAUAUUGCAUGAGUCUUCAUCAUGACGUGACCUUGCACACUUGUCAUUUGUCUUGAGAGUUUGGCACUAAUUACAGAAUUACAGCCCUUCAAUAACUAAAAUAGUGGAUAUUUUGUUUGUAAUGUUCAUAUUUGUCUAGAAUAACGAACCUUAAAAUGUUUUUGAGGCUACCUUAAGCCGACAAACAGUUGCAUUAUUUCCCCUUAUAUGUGUCAAAUGUACCAAUGAGGGCACACCCUGUGUCCUACAGAUACAUUCUUUUUGUUUUACAUUCGAAAGAAAAGGUAUGUGUAAGCAAACAUUAUCAUUUUUGUUCAAAAUAUGCAAGAAAAAGGAUUUUUAUCAUAUUUGUUUACAUAUACAAGACAAAGUAUGUUCAAUAAAACAUUAUUGUUUUUUUUGUUUUUUGUUUUUGAAUAUGCAAGAAAAGACUUUUUAAUUUUUUUUGCCGAGUUUUCGAAGAAAAAUCCGGCCUGUAAAUUAGAUCUGUCCGGACGGAUUAAUGGAUGGAUAAAUGACUCUCAUGUUAACGUAUUUUUACCCAGAAUUUUGAACCUUAAGAAGUUUGUCAAAGGUCAAGAUCAUAUGGACCUAACGUUGAAAAUUGUUUACACUUAAUAUAUGGAAAAGUUCACCUAGGACCUUGAAACUUCAUGAAUAUGUUGGUCAAAAUGUGUAAAUGACCUCUAUUGAUUUCAGGGUCAAAGGUCAAGGUCGCAGCGAUAUAAACUUUGAAAUCAGUUAUUUUUUUACUUGGAGCUUUUACAUAAAAUCAUUUCCUCAAUUUCAUUUUCUACCUGUCCAUUUCUUUUUUUCCUUCUUUCGUUGAUAGUGCGUUUUGAUUUGGUGUUAUUUAUUGAACUUUAACUCACUAUCACAUCAUCGGAAAACCCGGGCAAAACGCCAUCAGGCGUUAGCUGUUUUAAAUAUGAAAGAAAACGUUUGUUUAAGCAAACAUUGUCGUUGUUUUGUUUUAAAUACGCAAGAUAAAAGAUUUUUGUUUGCAAACAUUAUCAUUUUAUUUUAAAUAUGCAAGAAAAGCUAUAACCAAAGCAAAAUCAUUUGUUUUAUCUAAAGUUUGCAAGGUAAUGUAUAGUUAUAGCAAACAUUAUCAUUUUUAUGUUAAAUGCAGAAAACAUAUGUUUAAAGCAAACGUUAUGUGUUUUUGUUUUAAAUAUGAAAAACAUAUGUUUAAGGCAAAAAUUAUCGUCUUUGUGAACACGUUAUAUUUAUGCAAACAAUAUUAUUUUUGGUACGAAUAUACAAGAAAAAGGCAUGUUUAAGUAAACAUCAUUUUCCUUUUAGAUAUCAUGCAUAAAACUGGUAAAAAGUUUUAGAUAUGAAUGGAAUAGAUUUUUAUCAUUUUUGUUUUAGAUAUUCAAGCACAAGGCCUGCCGAAACAAACAAUAUAAUUUUUGUUAUGUAAGAUUAAAUUGCUUUUGCUUAAGCAAACAUUAUCAUUUUUUGGCAAGAAAAUGCAUUUUAUGCAAACAUUAUUAUUUAGAUUAUAAUGUUAUGUAUAUUGUCUUCAUUUUCUGGUUUGAUGAUAUUCAGUUGUGAAUGACCAUUGAUUCAUCAAAUUUCAUGAUAUGUUGGCCACUACUCUUAUGAUAUUGGACGGAUUUUUACCACACUUUACAGGAACACCAUAUUUGCCAACGCUCAUUGUGCAUAUUUUUAGACAUUUUUAAUUCUAUUAUUUUCAAAGGAGAUAUGGUCCUUGUUUGAUCAAAUUUUAUGAUUCUAUGGCCACUUUCCUUAUAUUGUUUGGCGGAUUUCCACAAACCAUACAGAAGUGACUAGUGCCUUGCUUUAUUAUGCAAAUUGUCUGCAUGUUCCGGUUCUGCGAUUUUCGUUGGACUUAUUUUCAUGUUCCUUGAUUUAUCCUGUAUCACCGUGUUGGGGUAAAUGCGUCGAUCAACAACAAAAUUAUUGCAAAGCCACCUUGUGCAUAUCAUGGACAUGUUGUACUUCAAUGCUUUUUUUGCGGGGUUAUGAUCCUUGAUUUAUCAUUUUUAUUUUGCUUUUAAGCCAAUUCUCAUAUAUGCCAGAGCGAGUUCCACAGUGAUCAGAAACAUUUUCCGAUUUAUUGAUUUGUCAUUACUUUUAAUAUUUUGGCAAACUUUGCUACACCAUUUGGCAGAACCGCACAUGAGUUAUCAUAGCCAAGCCUAGUUGGAGUCAUGACACUUGAAAUGUCAAUUUCAUUGAUUUGUGCUACUUCUCCUGUACCACUGAUUUUAUUUUCAUCAAACUUCACGUGAAUUACCACUGCUAAGCCUAGUUGUAUAUAUUGUUAAACCGUUAUGGUUCAAUGAUUUUUGCUAGAGCUUUGGCUCUUAAUUUAUGACAUCUUUUUAAUUUUUGUGUGGAAAGUGGUGGGAGACCUGCGAUUCCUUGAAAAUAAUCUCUUGUGUUGAUGUAAUUAUAGGUUUAUGUAUUUGUGUUUGAAUUUAAUGCUUUCUCUAGAACAUUUUACCUUGAUAUAAUAGAUACCCAAUACGUUUCGUAAGCUAUUUACUGAGAAAAUGUUGAAGAUAUUUAGAAAAAUAUCUUUUAAUUGAAUUGAUUAAAAGUCGUUAUAAUUUCGCUGUAAUUUUAUGUGUGUGUAUUUUUUUUAUUUGAUAUUUGAUAGAUAAAAUGUAAGGGUAGAUUUUCCAGAAGCACAGAACACCCAAAACUCAUAAAUAGAGCCUUGCAUUGCAAAGUAGGCUGACUACAAAACAGCCAUAACAGAAAAUAUUGUAGACGAGUUGCAUAAAAAUCAACAAUAAAUACAUCAUUAAUAUAUACUAAGUACAGGUGGAGUACCAUAAAGAUCUUGAUAUAAUAGAAACCUAAAACGUUCCUUAUUCUACUUAAUGAAUCUCUUGCAUGUAUGAUAUUUCCGAAGUUUAUAGAAACCGAUGCAUUUUGAUAUUAAUCGAAAAAAACUUAAAUAUCAGGAAUAGUGCAACAAGGGGAGUUCAGUUUUGAAAUAUUAAGUUAUUUCAUUUGCUAUAUUAUGAGGUAUUUUCUGCUACUGGAUGAAAGAUCUGACUCGAAGGUAGUUUUUUAGGUUUUGCAAAGUUACUGCGAAACCAGUUGUCCGAGUGUCAGAUAUAAAAUUUUGCACUUUCAACAAAUGUGUCACAUUAUUUUCCUUUCAUGCCGUGUUCUUCAGUUAAAUGAUGAAAUUUAAUUAAAUGAAUUUUUCUUAGGACUUUUUAGACUACAGCACGUCGUUUUGUGACGCUUUGUAAUUAUGAAAACAUGUCCAAACAGUAUUUCUGUUGUCCUAAGAUAUUGUCGAAAUAUUUUAAACAGAAAUGACACUCAUAGGAAAUAUUUCUCAUAACUUUAAUCCAUUUUAGACUUGUUCUUUCUGUAGACUUUGUUUAUCAUAAUUAUUUAAAAGUUAAAACUAAAUGAAAAUUAAAUCUAGAAUAAUUCUUGAACAAAUAUUUACACUAUUAAAUUGUUAGCACAUUAACUUCAAAGAUAACAAGUUAUAGCUAUUGAAUUUUAUUGCCCAGAUGGGCGUGUUGGUCAUCUUUUUUGUGAAUACAAGUUGCUCAUAGUUAUUAAGGUCUACAGCUUUGCAAGUGAUCGUAGUAAUCAGUUGCCUGUAUCGGUAUCUGAUUUAUUUGUAAUUGGAAAAACAAGAGUUUAAUAUGACGAUGCUGAUAUUUUCGAAAUAUUUUACGGAGUGGAAUUGGUAAAUUGUGACAUUUUGACUGUGACUGUAAAGUUAUGCAUGUGAUAUAUCCCAAAUAUAAAAUAAAUUCUUAUAUAGAGAUAAAGGUAAAUUUUAUUUACCGUCGCUUUGUGAAACAAUGAAAAUAAGCUAUAAAAGGCUUUUGAGAGACCCUUUAUUAAGAACGGUUUAAACUAAUUAUGCCUAAUUCUCCGCAAUUUGCCUGUGCCCAUUUACAGCUGGGCCGACUGAGGCAAUCGUCAUAAAGUGCCUUUCCCAAAGACACACCAUAAUGCGUGAAGCCAGGAAUCGAGCCCGGAGUUUUCACCUUCUUAAGCUCCGUAGGAGAGCGUCUUAGCCCUCUUGACUAAUGCGUGCACAAUCAGAAUUGCAUUUGAUAACUGUUCCUUACUUUUUUAUGUAUCUUUUAGUUAACUAAUAUUAAUGACCAUAAUAUGUCAUUUGAUUUACUUUGUGUUUUUAUUGUUCCUUUGGUUUUACCUUAAGGGUGUAUUUUUUGCAAGGUAGCAGUUAAAAUGAUAAUGAUCGGAAAUACGUUGAAAUAUUUAAACACACCUGAAAACAAAGGUUUAGGGUGAGCUUUUAUUAUAGGUGGAGGUUCGUUGUCCAAGGUUCAUCGUCCGCAUUUUACUUUAAAUUUCCCGUCGAAAGUGUUUGUUAUAAUUGACGCUGCAGAAUUAAUAUUCAGGCAAAGAUUCAUAAUAAUUUUUGCUAAGUUAACAUUGGCAGAGCAAAAGAAAUAUCAAGUGUUUUAAAACUUAAGUCUGCUGGACACGACUUGUUUUCAUGAACCACUUGAUGUGUCUUCACCAAACUUGAACAGUAACAGUCUUGUAAUGCUGUCUCUAAGUUGUUUAAGUUCAACCAGAUCUAAAUAUAGAAUAAAGAUUAUUUGACCUACUUUUGAACCACAAUAGAAAAACUUUCGUCUUCUAACAGUAAACUGCUAGAUAGACCUACAUCAAAGUCUGUCUGGAGCGUCUUUAAUGAAAUUUGCCUCGAUGUAUUACAAUGUAGUUUUGACAUAAUUAUAUUACAGGUCAAACGUUCAAGUUAAUUUAAACAACUUCGGGGCUUCUCGGUGUUGUUAUAAUUUCUGGUCCUUCGCGAACAUUGAUUUCAGCUCAUUUAGAUUUGAAGAUUGAAUACUACUUAAGUCGGUGCUAGUGGGCUUGGGCAUUUGCCAUUACUGCUCAUGAACAGACACAUUUAAAUCAAGUCCGCUAUUUUCAAUGUUUGCCUUGUUCUCAGUGCUUCUGAGGGAUCUACUUUCCAUAUUUUAUUCAUGUCUAUCUUGUUUGUGAACAGCAACACCUUAUUUUAUCAUAAUAAUGUUUAUAAUUGCAUUUCAAUGAAAAUAAAGGUGGUGUAUUUAAA